rnacentral:tRNA from 1 species
GGAGUAGUAGCUCAAUGGUAGGGCUCCGGAUCCUCACGCGGGAAGACCUGGGUUCGAUUCCCGGCAGCUUCC